UACGUAGGGUGCGAGCGUUAAUCGGAAUUACUGGGCGUAAAGCGUGCGCAGGCGGCUUGCCAAGUCAGAUGUGAAAGCCCCGGGCUCAACCCGGGAACUGCGUUUGAAACUGGCAGGCUAGAGUUUGGCAGAGGGGGGUGGAAUUCCACGUGUAGCAGGUGAAAUGCGUAGAGAUGUGGAGGAACACCGAUGGCGAAGGCAGCCCCCUGGGCCAAAACUGACGCUCAGGCACGAAAGCGUGGGGAGCAAACAGG
rnacentral:rRNA from 1 species